CCACACGCCCGCCACCUUCUCGGCGCUCCUCGUCCGCCUCGCGCGCUCGCGGCUCCCGGGCGCCGCCGCGCCGCCUCCGCACCCUGCAGUUUCCUGGAGCCGCAACUCCUGCCGCUCGCCUGCCUCCUCACGCCCGACCACGCGCUCGCGCUGCUCCGCCUCCUGCCCUGCUCCUCCGGCUCCGCUCCGCGCAUCCCAAUCCCUGCUCCUCCGACUCCUGGCCAUGGGGGGCUUCCAGGCACCAGAUCCGGCCGCCGCGGACCCAGAUACAGUGGCACGGGCGCACAGCCAGGCAGCUUGGUGCGCCAGCCCCCACCAUGGGCACGGCAGCCAUGGGCGUGCGACACGGGGAGCGGGCGACGAGCAAGCAGCCAGUCCAUUCCCGUGCUAGAUGCAAGGGGCGCCCUAGCUCCCUAGCCGGUAGCGACGCGGCAAUGCUCCCCUUUCAGGCCUCCGAUCAUAAGAUUCCAACACUUCACCCUGCUCAAUCCAUCAGCAAAGCUGUUGGAACAGAUUGGUGAGGAUUGAGGGCACGCACCAGCCUGCGAGUGGCCAGCGACGGCCAUGGCUGACCUUGGGAAUUCCAACGCAAUUUAAGCUCGCUUCUUCCCGUGAGUAGUGAAUGGCGGUUGUGAUUCUACAUAUACGUUUUCCUCCUGUGCUUCCUGCACUCCUUAUGGUUCAAGUGCAUACACUUUGGCAGCAGCUUGCAAAGUGUUCGACAGAAUGCUCAUGAGGAGGUCAACAUGAAGAUAGUAGUUGUUUCAUCUGCCCGUAGUGCUCUAACCACAUCAACAACAGGCCUACCUGCCUGGUUAGAAUUUUCCCUCUACUUUGACUGGUUGGUUUGAUCUAUACGAUUUACAACUUUAAUACUUUAUUGGUUAUGCUCCACUACUUCCACUUGACUGAAGUUAAUAAAUGAGAACUAAUUUGUAUUGUCACAUGUUCAUUCAUCUAGGGCACAAAAUUCUUUUCUACUUCACCUCCUAUUGACCUCUGUGCUUUAGUUUCCUUUUCCCUUUGGGUGGACAGAAGAUUGACCCAGUGUGGAGUGGUCUGAUUUGGGCGAGGAGCAAUUCGACGGGAACAGGACUGGCAGCCUAGCAAGCCAGUAGCUCAAUGCUUGCAUCCUGCAGUGUAGGCACAGAAGCAUUCCUCACAACUGAACAACAACAUCAACCAGCACAUGUCUGAUUGAAGCUACAUAGAUCCUCAGUGGCUAAAAGGUUAAGGAUGCCUUAAGGUCGAGAAUUUUUUCAAAUGGAGACAUGAAGUGGAGUACAUGUAUGAUUCUUUGAUUCAAACACUAAGACGAAGCUGUCAAAGACUACAUACCUGUGCCCUUGAGUAGCAUAUUUCCUCUGCAUGUAAGUUGCUUUUUCCCAUAUUUGCAGAUGUUCAUGUGCAGGAGAAAAAAUAAAUAGCAAUUGUGUCAUGCUUAACAUGUUGGCUAAUUACAUGAAUCAAAAAUUUUCUUGACUGAUGAGUAUGGCAAAUACUGGAAAAA